UCGGACGUGGGGUAGUAGUGAACCUGCUCCCCUCCCAAGGGAGAGAGUGAGUGCCGCAGCUGUCAACUGCUCAAACGCCUGCUAACAAUGUCAAUAGCCCGGGUGCAAAUCCCGGCGUUCGAA